rnacentral:rRNA from 1 species
UUUGGUUGUGGAAAGUUUUUUCGGUUGGGGAUGGGCUCGCGGCCUAUCAGUUUGUUGGUGAGGUAAUGGCUCACCAAGACGACGACGGGUAGCCGGCCUGAGAGGGCGACCGGCCACACUGGGACUGAGACACGGCCCAGACUCCUACGGGAGGCAGCAGUGGGGAAUAUUGCACAAUGGGGGAAACCCUGAUGCAGCGACGCAGCGUGCGGGAUGACGGCCUUCGGGUUGUAAACCGCUUUCAGCAGGGAAGAAGCCCUUCGGGGUGACGGUACCUGCAGAAGAAGUACCGGCUAACUACGUGCCAGCAGCCGCGGUAAUACGUAGGGUACAAGCGUUGUCCGGAAUUAUUGGGCGUAAAGAGCUCGUAGGUGGUUGGUCACGUCUGCUGUGGAAACGCAACGCUUAACGUUGCGCGUGCAGUGGGUACGGGCUGACUAGAGUGCAGUAGGGGAGUCUGGAGUUCCUGGUGUAGCGGUGAAAUGCGCAGAUAUCAGGAGGAACACCGGUGGCGAAGGCGGGACUCUGGGCUGUAACUGACACUGAGGAGCGAAAGCAUGGGGAGCGAACAGGAUUAGAUACCCUGGUAGUCCAUGCCGUAAACGUUGGGCACUAGGUGUGGGGGACAUUCCACGUUCUCCGCGCCGUAGCUAACGCAUUAAGUGCCCCGCCUGGGGAGUACGGUCGCAAGGCUAAAACUCAAAGGAAUUGACGGGGGCCCGCACAAGCGGCGGAGCAUGCGGAUUAAUUCGAUGCAACGCGAAGAACCUUACCAAGGCUUGACAUACACCAGACCGUUCUGGAAACAGUUCCUCCCCUUUGGGGUUGGUGUACAGGUGGUGCAUGGUUGUCGUCAGCUCGUGUCGUGAGAUGUUGGGUUAAGUCCCGCAACGAGCGCAACCCUCGUUCUAUGUUGCCAGCACGUAAUGGUGGGAACUCAUAGGAGACUGCCGGGGUCAACUCGGAGGAAGGUGGGGAUGACGUCAAAUCAUCAUGCCCUUUAUGUCUUGGGCUUCACGCAUGCUACAAUGGCUGGUACAGAGAGAUGCGAGACCGCGAGGUUUUAGCGAAUCCCUUAAAGCCAGUCUCAGUUCGGAUCGUAGUCUGCAAUUCGACUACGUGAAGUCGGAGUCGCUAGUAAUCGCAGAUCAG